ACCUGCCGCCGCUCGCUCGACUCGAUUGAGCCGCGAACUGCGAUUGCUCGUGGACGUUAGCAGACGCGCGGCAAACGGCGCCGAGCAAGUUGCUUUUAUUCUCCCCGGCUGGGACACUGUGCUUUCGCGACGCGACGCGCCAGUCUAACCGUAAACGUGAAUCUUUUACGAGCGCGUCCUCGUCAUUGUCGUCGUUCUCCUCCUCAUCAUCGUAGUAGUAGCAGCGCGUUACUUCUUUCACUUCAGUGCUAAAUUGUGUGUCCCGCUCAGCUACGUGUGUCUCUUGUGCAACACGAACGACCUUGCCCUCAGCCAGCUGCCGGAACGAGGAGCACAUCCCAGGAACACAUCGUAAACACGCAAUCGGUGAAUCACCGCGCCGCAAAAUGGGCUGUGUCUCGCAGUGCGCCAAGUACUUCCUCUGCUUGUUCAACUUCGUAUUCUUCAUCGCCGGGGGAGCGGCGUUGACCGUCGGUAUCUGGCUCUUCGCCGACAGGAGUUCGUUCACCAACCUGAUCGGCAAACUCGAUCAGUCCGACAUCUUGAAUAAAACGGAUGCCGAUGUCAUCAAAGUGAUUGCCUACAUUCUUAUCAUAGCCGGCGCCCUCACGUUCAUCAUCAGCUUCCUCGGUUAUUGCGGUGCCAUGUUCGAGUCUAGAUGUCUUCUCUGUGUCUAUGUCAUUCUAAUCGCACUGGUUUUACUCCUGGAGUGUAUCGCAAUUGGACUGGCUUGUGGAUACAAAGAUACCGAGAGAAAUACGCAGAAAUUCUGGAAGUCAACCAUAAAGUACUACGCGACCAGCGCCGAUAAAGCCGAAACCGUGACAGUCGCAUGGGACGGUAUCAUGAACCAGUUCCAUUGUUGCGGCGUGGACAAUUAUCGAGACUUCGGCGAAAAUACGAACUUCACCGCGACCGGAAAAAUGGUUCCCGAGGCCUGUUGCAUAAAAGAGAACGACGUUCUGAAGGACCCUUCCUGUCCAAUCAGUCCCACUGCCUCAAACUCGUAUUACGAAACGGGUUGCUUCGAGGCCAUAAUAACCGCCAUACAGGAGAACAAGGCGAUAGUGAUCAGCGUGGCUGCUACUCUGCCUUUAAUCGAGUCUCUAAUCAUUAUUCUGGCGCUGUACCUAAUCUUCUUCCACUGGCGUCCGCAACAUGUUUAUCGAUGCGUAGAACCUUCUGGCAAGGAGUAACCUCGAGAGCAGAAUGUGCUAAGCUUUCUGCCAUGAAAAGAACGCAGUUCUUUUUCCUUUAAGGACUUCGCGAAUACCUCGACUGUGUUUCUUGUGUAGACGUAUCGUCGAGACAGGCCUGGUGAGGUGCCGAAGUAAGGAUGAUGAUGAUUUUGAUGGGGUUUGGUUUCAAGUAAGACGGAGGUGAAGCUGUCAGUUGACAGUUGACCUCACCUGCCUCGCUGCCCCGGCAGUGUCUAGAUAUCUGUUACCCACCUUCGAAAGUGGCUGUUCUACAAGCGUUUUUUUUUCUUUUUUUUCUUUCGUGGAUUCUGUUGAGGCAUGGUAGCUUUGCUCUCUACUCUUGCAUGGCCAUGCUGUUGUAUAUAAUUUCGACUGAGGGACACAGAUACGGAAGGUGAGGGAGAGAGAAAGGCCCGAUUGCAUCGAUUUUACACGCAGUGCAGGCUGUAACAGGUGCGGAUUGCUUAUUGUUGACGGCUUGCCGGGAAACGAAAGCACAUGUCAUGUGGAGUGACAUUUCGGGGAGCAAAUGACGCAAACUCGCAGAUUACGAAAAUGAUAAGUGUGCUUACGCAUUAACCAGUAUGGCUAUUAAUGAAGUUGCAAUUAUUAUGUUUCAGCGUCUGUAGUAUAUUAUCUCGACGACGGAUCGCUAUCGUAGGUAGAAAAAGAAAAGGAGAGAGAUAUUAAUCAAAGCUAAAAGGAAUCUUUGCGCUCAUAAUAAUACAUAUACAUAGAUACACAGCGUAUAAAGAUUUCAUUUCUUUUCUUCUCAUUCCUUUUAACACACGCUUUACGAUUCUCUGACUGUGGAGCCAAAUGAAAUCCUGAGCGGAUGUUGUAAUCGAUGCAUUUUUGCAAAAAGAAAAAGCCAACUGUGCAAUUGGGCCUAUCGCCGUCGUCUUUUUUUUUGCGUUUUAUAUUUAAGCAUUUCGCCGUAAAUUUUUAUUUCAAUAGGACUCACAUUCGCGUACUCGACGACUACCGACGACACAAGUUAUCAAACGCACGUGGCUAAAUCAUUUCUGCUCGAUGUUGCCAUAUGCGAUGACAAUAUCGACAAUUCCUUUUCUUUUUCUUUUCUUUCUCUCUUUUGGUUUUUCCCCCCUUUUCCACUAGUUAGAGUAGUUUAGUCAGCAAUUUCUAUUGUCUCGAUGUUGCAAACACACUAUAUGGUAUCUAACAAAUAAAUCACAAGACGAAGAAUCUCAUUCGCGUUUACACGUAAAAGAACAUAAAACGUAUUACUGUGUAAAAUGAAAGAUGACGUAUAAUUUCGAAGAGAAAUUUAUGUCUCGAAACUCAUAAUGUGUAUUAGUGUACCUUGAAUGUUUAACAAAACUGUAUACGCUAUCUCUGUACGUAUGCGCACCAAGCACACGCAGGGGGUAAAAGUAGAGGACUCUAAGACUGAAGAUUCAAGAGAUGAACUUGAAAGCGCGUUAUAACGAGUUUACUACGCGGACUACUACGGAGGAAUCAAAAGUGUCAUUCCCGGAAUAUUGUUUCCAAAGCAUCACAGCGAAGAAUUCACCUUGCACGAAUUCGAGGACUCGCCCGAAUUCGAGUGACUAGGUGGCGAUCGCACCUAUUCUUCAAGUAAAAUUUCACUCCGAGAAAUUUAGAGAGUGACACAUUAUAUUAUACCUGACUUAUUACCGUGUGUACAUUAUAUUUACUACUGUAAUUAUACCGUAUAUAUUAUACCUGAGUAGAAUAUAUUUUUGUAGUUUCGCGACGUAUCGAUUGUGCGCGAUACGUUAUGAGCGAACGUGCAAGCUUCCGUUUUUUGCUUAUUUCGGCGACGGCGACGGUUGGAAGACGGGUGGAAAGGGAGGGUAAAGAAAUGCUCGCAGAUAAAUUGAGGAGGGAGGGGGGACGCAUAUUCUCGAUAAUACGAUUACUUACGCUUUGUUUUCAGUACCUGAAAUUUUCGUAGAUUUAACGACGACAGAUCGCGCGACAACUCUCUCUUCUUCAGAGACUGUUGCCAUUGUUGUAAUCCGUGGAUCGCAUGGUUGUGCGUUGAAUUGUGUGUGGUAUUGACUCGACGCGAAGGCUACUAUACGAACUACUAUAGUUCAUGUUUUGUGCCGGCGUGCGCGUACGUACAACGCAAUUGAUGAUAAACGUAAAAGAUAAGAAGAAAAACACGAAAGAGGAAAAAAAAGCAAUUGGACGCGGUAGUUUUACAAUGCUCUUUUACACAUACAUAGCUACUAAUUGUUCAUGCCACACAUUCUAGACAUUUUCGUUUCCAGUGUUAACUUGUUGGUGCUGCUGUUGACGAGGCAUUAAGAGCAUGGAACUGUUGAGUAGUGCCUCCUCCUAGCACGUUGAGCCCUUUGUGCUCCUGUGCCUUGCUUGCUUGAAACUCUAGCCGCUAGCCCAGCCUAGGCUAGCUGAGAAGUCGGCCAACAGAUACAAAAUCCUGACGCUUGUACAACGAAACGUUUCGGGAGAUACGCUCUGGCAGUGACGUAGAAGAUAUUUUCUAGGCGACACUUAUAUAUAUAUAUAUAUAUAUAUAUAUAUAUAUAUGUGUGUGUAUGUGUGUGUGUGUAUGUGUGUGUGUGUACAUAUACACACACACGUACACAUCCUGUGCUUUUCUUAAAGAGAAGCCGAUUCUAUACGCACCGCAGCGAAAAUACAAAAAGAGGGAACAAGUACAAAAUUAUUUUAAUACAACUUUCGCUAUAGAGAGAAAGGUCCGUCUUUGAAAAAGAAAGAGAUAGAAAAAGAAUAAUGACGAGAGAGAACACAUAUCCUAAGUUAUAUAUUUUGAAAUAUUGUGACUUGUGAAGUAUGUGCUCUAGCCGCACUUGUAUAUAAUUGUAAGAAAAGUAACUAUUGAAUUAUAGCAGAUACGAAAUAUCCCUACGUCACUGUUGAUUGAUAACGUUUCGUAGUUUCUGCUAAGUGUUUAUAUAUUGCGGAGGUACAAGCGUUUAAAAUAACCAGCCAGUAGAUAUAUCGUAUCUUCGUAUUUACCGCGAGAGCGACAACCCGAUAACGAACGCUAUUAUGUAACUACCUUUUCCUUUCGUUCUCUGCGGUGUUUGUCGUCUACCGAUCAUCGUGAAAGAAUGUCGAUAAUGGAUAUAGCAGCUGUGUACAUACGCAUAAAUAUUUUAGAUGCUUGUAUCAUAUAAAAACUCGGAAUACUCACGCGCUUCGUCCAUUCAGAAUGGACAGUGGAAUAUAUAACGAGACACGUAAUCGUAACGAGAAACCGAUGUAUACUUUUUCUCAAUAUAUUUUCUGUAUAUUAUCCAUUCCUUCUUCUUUUUGUUUUCUAACAUUCUUAUUGCGUUCAACGAAAAAUUGUGUAAAAGCUUCUCACGUACAUAAUAGCUUUACACUCGAAAUAGCAGUCGGGAAGAGAGAGAGA